GUUUGUGUUGGUUCUGUUGUUUGAAAAAAGACUCAGGAAAAACAGACCUGGAGGCAAAUGAGAGGAUAAAGAGGAACGAAUCUGGUGGCUGUUUUCAGUAACUGUGCUUGAAGUGUCAAUUGCUGCAUGAUUGAUAUAUUUUAAUUGGAAUAUACACUCCUUGAAACUUUUUCUUUAUUUCUAGGUACAGUGAAUGUUUCUGUUGGUGUAAAUGGGACACUGUUUGCAAAGAUGCCAAUUUGGAAAUACAGGCCAGAGCAACUCACUUUUUGUUUGUCCGAAACCAUGCAAAUCAUAGUAGAGGAGCUACUCUGUACAUAUUCUGCUUCAACUGAAUAUUGGCAGCACUCGGAUAUGUCCUCCGAUGAAUUGUGGAGAGUGCUAGGUUCUGUGCUUUAGUGUUCCCAGCAAUGAAGGCCUGCUCAUCUACUAACCCAAGGUGCAAAGGUGGCUAUAAACAGAUAUUGUAUUUUAGGUUGCCCCUGAUUGAUCCACAUUAAAACAUGUUACAAAAUAGGAACAGUAUAUCUCUUUACUUGCUACCCUAUGGCCAUCCUGAGAGCCCGCAGCCUAAUGGACUUAUCCCUGGAAUGACUGGAAAUUAACCUGAACCAUCUGCUGUUAAUUUACAGACCAGGUAAAUUGUCCCAGAAAGCGUUAGUAUAUCUUAUCUCACAUACUUCACAGGUACUUAAAGUGGGGAAAAUGGACCAAUAGUCUGUAGGAUCCCAGAACAAAAGGUUUUUCUUCCCAGAGAAGUCCAUAGUCUGUUUGCACUCUAGAGGCGAUGGGUGUUUUAAGUGCAGGUAGUACCUGUCAAAAGAAGGUAUAAAGAGGGCCUUUAGUAUAAAAAGUUGGGAAAACAGCAUCUUUAAAUUAUAAUCCAUCUAACACUUUAUAGGUACUGUGAAGAAGGCACAGCUUGUAAUAAGCUGAAGUUGAAUAAGUGGACAGGGUUGUCACAUAGUUCUGUUUGCAAGCUGAAAUGGAGUUUGUGGUCAUGGAAGCAUAUGUUCCUGUUGUGAGAUUAUUCUGGGAUAAAUUAAGGUGUAGCCAGUGCAAACCACAAACAGUUACUAUAUCUCCUAUAUGGCAAUUGUUGUGGCAAACUGAAUUGUGAGUUGUUCAAAAGAAAUGUUUGGAAUGAAGAUCUCAGUCCAUGAGUUGUGGACUAUCUCAGAGAUGGGCAAUUAUGUGGACUGAAGUGCCACACAAGAAGUUUUGGUGAGCUGUUCAGCACUGGUGGUGGGGGGAGAGAAGAGAUGCCAUUUGAUCCUAUCCAGCUGGGAGCUUGAGGAGGGAGGGCUGUGCCCCGUGCUGCUCCCAUCUGCUGCAGCCAGGGCUGGGUCAGCUGGUGUAGUGCAGACUCUCCACCCCCUAUCUCUCUUCCAGCUUCCUGUUGGUGUUGUGCAGUCCUGGUACUGAAGCUGUUAGCAACAACUGGGCCUUCACAGGACAGGGUGUGAUGCAGCAUACUGCGUAGGUUCCCACCUACUAAGGUGAGCUCCUGCCCUCCCUGGCAGCUGGCAGGCCAGAUGAGACCAGUUGUUGGGCUGGAUAUGGUCCCCGGGCCAUGUUUUACCUACCCCUGGACUAUCCAGUCUUAACCCCUUUUCCCCCCUGUUUUUUACAGAAAUAUUUUUCAUUAAGUAUAUAAGAACAUUUAGGAUUGAAUUAUGUUUCUUACAUGUUCUUUUAAGUACUUUUGCAACACAAGAGUUCAGUGUUUAUUGAACUAGGUUAAAUAAACUAGGUGUGAUUAAAGAAUGGCUAUCUUAA
rnacentral:lncRNA from 1 species